UACGGAGGGUGCGAGCGUUGUCCGGAAUCACUGGGCGUAAAGGGCGCGUAGGCGGCCUGAUAAGUAGGGGGUGAAAUCCUGCGGCUUAACCGCAGGGCUGCCUUCUAAACUGUCAGGCUCGAGCACAGUAGAGGCAGGUGGAAUUCCCGGUGUAGCGGUGGAAUGCGCAGAUAUCGAGGAGGAACACCAAUAGCGAAGGCAGCUCGCUGGGACGUUACUGACACUGAGGCGCGAAAGCGUGGGGAGCGAACAGG
rnacentral:rRNA from 1 species